ensembl:lncRNA
ACUACUUCCUGUCUUCUUAACAUCUAUACUUGUGGGUCUCAUAGGCAGGGCCCCAAGCACAGCCCACUUGUGUCCCUUAGUGGACAGGCAAUGUGUGUGGCCAGGGCCGCACGGGAGGCAUUUAUUGACACUGUCACCUCCUCUGUUUACUCUCACUCCCAGGACAGACUGUCACCCAGCAGGAUGGGAAGGGGACGGGAGGUUCAGACUCCUUCUUCCACACUUGGGCUCUGACAACAGGAAAGGCUGUUGGAGGUUCCAGCACGGGUAACCUCCUGGGCCAGCGGGAGCCAGACAAGUCAGGGAGUCGGGGGGAGCAGACAGCUCUGACCAGGCUGAAGAUCCACCAGCGUCUGCAAGGUGAUGCCGUGGGUCCCUGGUGGUCCCCUGCAGAGACCCAGCCUGCGCUGAGCCCCAGAGCAGGAAGGACGCCCUCCCGAAAGGCAAAGUUCACACUGGUUCCCCAGAGCUGUGGUCUCCAAACCUCUUUGAUCUCAUAACCGCUAUUGGUUAAAAAUAAUCGAAGCAUGCUGUUUAAAAUAUGUGUGCAUUUUACUUCUAACUCUUACAUAUAUGUUUAUAUUAAACAGCAAUAAAGCUUAAUGACUUUUUCAUGAUUUAAAAAAAUGACUAUAGGUGUUCCCGCCGUGGCGCAGCAGAAACAAACCCGACCAGGAACCAUGAGGAAGUGGGUUUGAUCCCUGGCCUCACUCAGUGGGUUAAGGAUCCGUCGGAUUCAAUAACCACUGAGCCACGACGGGAACUCCAGAAACUUGUAUUUCUUAUUAUCCUUUCUUUCUCCUUGAUUGUCUAAUUCUACUGCUCCAUCAUAUCUUUCCUGUUAGCCUUUAAACACGGCCAAAUCACCUCGUUAAAAAAAAAAAAAAAAAAAAAAAAAAUUCAACUCCCUCGACCUCACAUCUUCUCCAGAAACCACUCUCUGUCUUCCUUACCUCCACUGCUGAUCUCUGCAAAGGAGCCGUCUGCACUCUGUCUCCACAUCCGCAGAUCCCUCACCUUUUCUGGAUAGCUUCACUGAGGUACAACUGACGUACAAUAAGCUGCGUACGUGGAAAGUGUGCGAUUUGGUAACUUUCACCCUGUGUCUACACCCGGGAAACCACCACCACCAGGAAGAUCAUGAACACCUCCGUCACCCCCAUGAGUCUCUUUGUGCCACUUUACAAACUUCCUGCUCCGUCACUCACUGAAAACACUCCGGAUAAAGACCCUAGUGAGCUGCAUCUCCCUAGAUCCAGCGAAAGAUGGUGAUUGUUCCUGAGACAUCUCAGAAAUACCUCGACUACAACUCAUCUAAAGCCAGACUCAUGAAUGUAUUCCCCCAAACCUGCUCCUCUUCUGGUAGCAUCAUCCAAGGGAGAGCCAGGAGCCUAGAAGUUUUCUCGACACCUCUAGGCAAUGCUCCACCAAGUAACAUCUGUUUCACAUACUCAAUUAUCUCUGACCCCUGCUUCGCCACCUCGUGCAAAACUCCUUCCUCGGUUCCACACCAGAGCAAGGGUCCCCCCACUGCCAACUCUGUCCACGAGGUGCACACACUUCACCUCCCUAGUGCAGCCAGAGGAUUCUUUUACGCAACCAAGAAUGAGCUCAUGCUUCCCCACCCCGACUUAAAAUAUAGGCAAAGACUAAAACUCACGACAUGACCUACAAGUAACUGACAAGGUCUGGCUCCUACUUUCCUCUCCAGCCCCAGCUUAUCUUACUCUGCCUCUUUCCAAGACUGGGAUUUCCCAAUCACAGGGCUUUGCACAUGUUGUUUCUUGUCCAGAAUGCUCUUCCUAGUCAUGCUUCAGACCUCAGCUCAAUACCAGCUCCUCAGGGAGCUCCCUUUGACUUCUCUAAGUCGGCUAAAUUAUCUUCUCACAGCUUCAUGUAGCACUCUCUACCUCUCUCUGCAAUGUGCACCGUGGUGUGACUUGAUUGUCUAUGUGCUUAUCUGUUUCCCUUCCAAUGUCACUUCCCUCACUUAAGUCCUAGGCAAGAGAGUGGGUCUGUCUUUGCUCACUGUGCUGUCCUCAAUGCCUGAUCUAGUAGACCUAGUCUCCUGCACUGUAGUCGAUAUGCGUGAAACUACUGAGCAUGGAGUGAAAAUCGACUGUGUGCCACGCUCUGAUAUAUCUCAUUUAAUCCUCACGGCAACCCUGCGGGUGGGUAUUUUGCUCUUCAUAGAUGAGGUCAUCUAGGCUCAGGGAAGCCAAGAAACGAAGCCAUGGUCACACAGCAGGAAGUGACUGAGCCUGGGCAGGAACGGGUCUAUCUGCCUCCCAGCCAGAGUUCGCAUCAGUUUCCCCAGCUGCCUCGAAGGGAGGAAACAGUCCCACAUCCACUCCCACACUCUGAGGGCCUGUGCGGCCUCGUCUCAGCUCAUCUGCAGAAUCAGUCUAUGAGGUAUGUGUUCUAUCCUUUUCCAAAUGCAGUCAUUGAGGUACCAAAAGGUUAUGUCAACAGCCCACAAUUACUCAGCAGAACAGCAGACCUGGGCUUCUAAUUCAGGGCAUCAGGGCUCUUUUCACUGCAUCAGACACGAUGGAACAGGUACAAGUGAAAAGCACAGCCAGGUUAGAGGCUCUUUAACCUCCUAGUGAAGGAAAGAACUGGCUUCCAGGCCUCUUCUCUGGUUCACACUUGCCCACUUGAGUCAUCCAGGCUUUGAGACAUACUCAUGCCCAGAACGGUUCUGUUGACCCAAGGCCCCUGCAUCAGAGAGUUUCCAACCAAGGGGGGAGCAAGGAUAGAAGAAGCCACGGCACAUCCCUAGUGUCAACUGGAAGACACCCAAUGUCAAGACAGGAGAUAGUGGCAUAACCCUGGAAGCUGCCCUUCUGCCUCCACUAAAAAAGAAACCAUCUGGUCUCGGAGUAGCUUUUCAAGGACAGGCUGUGUCAACUGUCACCCUCCCUCCAGGGCACAGUGUGGAAGCACAGGGUGGGUGGAACCCUGGCUGACAGUGGUGCCCACAGGCUCUGGACAGAAUCAACCAGUUUCCAGCUGGAGUAGAACCAAGAGCCCUUGGGCGCUGGAGCUGCUAGGGCCUGAAUCUCCCUGCCCGCCCUCCAGUAGGCAGGAGAGGUAUGCCAGCUGCAGGGGCCUGUACUAAGGGUGGGGUUCCUAGGAGAGUUUCCCUUGACAGCAGAGGAGCAAAAGCACCAUCUGAGUGGUGGCAUAGAUACUCUGCCCACCAGGGCCUCUCUGUGAAAGACCCACUAGUGCCACCGUGGUUUCCUUUGCUCCCAUCUGUUUUGUUUUGUUUUGUUUUUUCUGUUUUGUUUUAAGGGCCACACCCAUAGCAUGUGGAAGUUCCCAGGCUAGGGGUUAAAUCAGAGCUGUACCUGCCAGCCAACACCACAGCCACAGCAACACGGGAUCCAAGCCGAAUCUGCCAUGGCAACACCGGAUCCUUAACCCACUGAGCAAGGCCAGCGACUGAGCCUGUGUCUUCAUAGGUACUCGUCAGAUUCGUUACUGCUGAGCCACGACAGGAACUCCCUCCUUUGUUCACAUCUUAAUUCAAGAGAUAACCUGACAGAAGCAGGUUUCUCACAUUGUUCACAGACCUAGCUUUGUGUAUGACCACACUUGAAUGUCAAAGCAAAAUGUCAAAUUGCUGCAAAAUGUUUCCAAACGCUUACUCAGAAUGUUGGCGCUUAACUCACAAUGGGCUGGUAGCACAGAAUCUGCAGGUCCGGCAUAGCCCCUGGACCACAGCUGGAGUGGCACUGGUGUAGAGGAUCCAUGGCAGGCUAAGAUCUGGAGGGAGGGUGUGGCGGGAACACCCAGGAAUGAGAAAGACCCUGUCUGCUGCCCCAGAGGAGCACAGGCUACCGAGAAAACACCCGGGUUCAAUUCCACAGUAUCAGAUGGGAGUCGAACCUUGGGCAAGGCGCUUCUCUUUGCUGAGUCUCCGUUUCUUUUUCUGGAAAAUGGGGGAGGGGCACCUAGUAUAAAAGAUAGCCAUUGUUUCUUUCUGCCCAGCACCUGGACAAAGAUAGCAUCUGACCAGCUUUGGGGUUUGGGAGGCUCAGUAUAUAACCUUGGUUGCAGGACUGGGUAUAUAACCUAAGUGUCUUCAGGUUCAAUCACCAUGACCCUGUGCUCGGUCCUGAGAUGGGUACAUACCCCAGCUGAGCCACCGUCUUGCAUCUCUUGCUGGCUGUGUUUGGAGAAGAGCUUCUUUGUGCUGGGUUGCUAAGCCCAAAGAAAACGCUUCUGAAAAUGAAGCUACUUUUCAGAAGAAAGCUGAGCCAGAGUUGCAGAGACUGUCUCCUGAUAAUAGCGUUUGAGCACCUGGACCCAGGUGAGCAUCCAUCAUCCCUCCCUCUCCUUCUCCCGGUCACUGUCCUUGGUCAGACUCCGCUGGCUCUCCUUCCCUCUUGGGCCUCCCUGAGGAUACCUGCGUCCGAGACAGGAAAGUUCGAGAACGCAAUUUGGGUCAAGAGGCAGGGACUAUGUGACCUCAGAUAAGGACCUUGGUCCUCUCAUCUGUCAAGUGGGGAUGCGGUCUUGUCUCAGACUCUCAAAAUUCUCUCAAGGACUUGACACACACAUGAGCAAACAGUACUUAGAAGCCGAAAGUGCUGAGCAUUGACCCAGGACUGUGCCUGGCAUUUUACUCAUUUCCCUGAGGCCAUGUGACACGUCCGAGGAGAGAGAGUGCAGAGAACAGGCUUUGUCGACAAGAUCUUUUCUCCAGUAUUAGCUCUGCGACACUG